CCUCCGUCGGCAAGUCGCCAAACUAGUUCCUCGCGACGGUUCUCUCUUCGAUCCUUCAGUAUUUGUUCUCAAUCGAUCAAUGGCAGACCGUGGUGAAAGAGGUCGGCCGUCCAAAAAACACAAGUCCUCG